rnacentral:lncRNA from 1 species
UUUCAUCAUUAAGCUAUUAAAAUUAACUAAAAAGUACCUAAACUAUUCUCACAUAUAACUAUUAGCCCCUUGGUUGACAAAGUUAAUUUUUUUUAUGAUGGUUUAUGGACUAAAUUGAUAUAUUUUUUAUAGUUUAAAGAUCUUCUAGUUGAUUUUAAUAACUCGAAGGCUAUAUAUGUGAAAAAAUUGAUAGUUUAAGGAACAAGUUGAUUGUUUAUUCUUAAUUUGAUUGAAGUCUACUGGCACACAAAUUUACAAGGAUACGGUGGAUAUGGGGAAGUUAUACCUGAUAUCCCUACAUUUAAUCUUUUACCCCCUACAAAUUGUUGAAAAUGCCAAAUUUACCUUUUAUCAUUUCACUUCACCCUGCAUAAAAUUUUAGCCAACAAUACACUUCCGAGAUUUAAUACUCCAAUUUUCGGAAUAUUCAUAUCAAAUUUUUAUGGUAGAUUAAUUUGUAAACCGGAACAAUUGAGUAAAGAAUUAUUAUCAGAAUUCUUUCUUCUUUCAUCGAGGUUUGAGAGACAAUGAAAGAUGGAAAAUAGAAUACAACAACCUGUAUUAGUUAAUAUAAAAUUAAGUGCAAAGCAAAGAUCAUGAUACCAAACCUCAUCAAUUCUUCUUCCAAUUCAUUUUAUUUAGAUCUAAAAAAAUGAAAGGCCGUAUAUUUCUGGAGUAGAAUUUUAGAUGUAAGGUUGGGAAAUCAAAAAACCUGGCUAAAACUGCAGAAACCUGUUUUCUGAAUUCUUUCUAAAAAAACAGUGUAAAAAAAUGCUUGUCUCUUUAUCUGUAGAUCUAAAAAAAAAUCAUUUCUAAUUCAUCUUGUUUGGAAAUAUGAAUACGAAAAGUUGUAUAUUUUAAUUUUUUUUAUUUUUACAAAAUACCGUUGUUGGGAAUGUGAAUAAUCUAAGAUUAAAUGUAGGGGUGGUAAAAGAUUAAAUGUAGGGGUAUAUGGUAUAAUAUCCUGGAUAUGGUAGGCUUAUAUUACUUAGAACCCAAAUCAUGUUACUUAGGCCCGUCAUCAUGGACUUUUUUCAUGUGGUUUCCAUGCAGGCUAGUUGAAUAUUGCUCUUUAGGCAUCCAUGUUUUGCUCUCAGACAUUUUGAAAUUAUUAUUUUACCUCAAUGAAAAUUAAUUACCAUUUGUUGAUGAACGAUGGUUAGUUUUCAUUCUCUUAUGAACAGUAGUUAAUUGUCGUUCUAGGGCAUUUUAUGUGGUUCAGAUUGCGCAGACAGUUUUUGUGGUCCACGAUACAUAAAAACUUCUAUAAAUUGGUGUGUUUGGUUCAUUUGAAACCACACCACAAAAUCAUGAAUAUUUAUCUAGUAGAUCCGAACACCAAAUUAGCGCAGUUAACUACAACGGGGAAAACUCAAUAUGUUUAGGGUUCAGGUUAAUGCUAUAUCGGUUGACUUGAAGGAACAUAGUUGGACCAAAUUAACAGUCGACUCAACCACAAAGACACAAGAAAGGUGGAAAGUGUUGAGUAUCGUCAUCCAUUCGUUUGACUCAUAUGAAAGCGUCAAGUUCACCCAUAUGAAGUUCAAGAACAACGACAUCGUGAGAACCAUCAAGUUAGACGCUUCAUUGGUCAAAUAUUUUUUAGAUGUUCCGGAAAGUUUGAUUCAGAUUAGGACCUUCAAAGAAAACAGGACUUGCAUGGAUAGACCAAAAGAAAUAAGUAUGUCUUAUUCGUGAUUUUGUAUGUGUUUUAUUAUGUUGUUAAAUUAUGUUAGUGUAUUGUGUUUUAUUAUGUUUAAUGUAUGUUUUUGUUAACUUAUGUCAUUGAAAUUAUGUUAAUGUAUUGUAUUUUAUUAUGUUUAAUGUAUGUUCUUCUGAGCUUUCCUUUGUAACUAAUGAUUAACUACAGUUUCUUCUGAAAACAACAAUUAACUAUUGUUCCUAGAAUGGGAGUUAACUCUUGUUUAACAACGAAAAAUAAUUAAUUAUUAUUUCGGAUAAAAUAGUCAAUUUGAGACGUGUUAAAACAAAGUAUGAGUGUCUAACGAACAAUUUUCAAGAUAGUUUAGUCCUUUUUGGGUUCUACCUUUUUUUUUUAUGAGUAACUUCUACACCUAGUUUCCAUUCUUUUUUGUGUUAAUUGUCCGAUUUCUUAGCAUGUGCGUAACUCACGCAGCGUGACUUAAGUCACACAUGUGUAAAAACUAAGUCAUGUAUUUUUUACACUUGCGCUAAUUAACUAACGCAAGGGUAUUUUCGGCAACACUGCAGGGCGCGAGUGUUUUGUGUUGGGUGAAGAGCAGAAUUCUAAAGUCAUAUAUAUAUAUUAUGGUUUUAAAAGGGUAAUUGCUAAAUCAGAUUCAUAGGAAGCAACUAAGUUAAUAUUGAAAGGGCAUGGUAAAGGGCACCCUUGUUCUCAUAUCAUUUCUCAUAUUUCUAAUUUUCUUGUCUAAUUCAUGAGUUACAAGUUUCAACGUGUCUAACGUGAAGCCAACAAAGUCGUGAAUGCUUUUGCAAGGAAUAUCCAACUUCAAAGUAUUAGCGCAGCUUUAACUUGAUGAACAAACUUAGAGUUUUCUAGGGUUUUAAUUUGAUUUUGUUGAAAUAGAGAGAGAAUGAGAAGAAUGGGUGAAUGAGGAGACAAGAAGUAUUAAAGUUGUGAUUUCAUUUAUAUGUAAAAAUACACAUGAAAGUAGCUUAUAUACAUGGUUUUUUGCUAGGUUACUUGAAGUACAAGUCAUAUAACAAACCCUAAAUACCUUAAGCUAAAAUCUAGUAAAUUUGUAACAAACUAUUAACAAACUAAACUAACUAGAUUUCUAAUGUGAUUAACCAAACAAGCUUGAUUAGAUCACUAACAAACUUGAAUUAUCAACUAACACAAAGUUGCGAUAAUAUAAAAAUAAUAUCAGAACUAGUCUCUCUUCAAAUGAAUGAUGCAUCACAACUUAUCUUUCUCCUUUGAUGGAAAAAUUUGUUCUAAUACCAAUUAUUGAAGGAAAAAAAUCAAUAAAAAAUCUUUAAACAAGCGGGAACACAACCACAAAAUAAGUAAAAGAGAUAAAAACAAAUCACAAGCCUAUUUUUCGAUACUUCACAGUUCACACCUUCAUUCAUAAUAUCUUAACAAAAUAUUUGUUACAAAAAUAUGCAUAGUUUUACUAGGAAUUGCAAACCCUCUUGUACAAUUAUAAUUUUUGCACAGAAAUAUUGCAAACUAAUCUUUCUCAAUUACAAUUUUUGUAAGAAAAACUACAAACUCUUUCAUGACACACAACUACCCAACCUCUUUUUUUUUUUUUUUUUUUUUCAUUACUCGAUGUGCGAUGUGAAAGAAUAUCAAUUUUAGAGAACAAAUGGCUAUAAUUUAUAGGUGGCCUUUAUGAUUUUUGGCACAAAUUUUCAUACUGUGAAAUGUGAAUAGAUGCAUGUGCAGAGAUGGAGUUCAUAAUUUAAAUCUUACGUUAAAAAUAAAACAAGUUUUUAAUGUUAUAGUUUAAAAAUAAAAAAUUGUUUCUUAUAUACAAUAUUUUUAUGAAUAUUUACAUAGUUCUUAAAAAAAUUAAUAAUGAAUGGUAUAUUCGUGUCCUGUAUGACACAAUGAAACAUAUGCACAUGAUUAAAUUAUACAUUAAGCCUAAUCAUAUGAUCUGAAAAGAUUUUCUCUACAUUUCGUCGAGCUAGCAAGGUAGAUAGAUGUCAACUAAUAAGUUGAUGAAAUCGGCUAAAAAAGAUUCCCAGUUGAAGUUUAUUAUUUUUUUGGUGCAACCCAGUUGAAGAUUUUAUUAACUUUGAUGAUGGCUCUGAACUACCAAGUUUUCUAGAACUUGAACAAGUCCUUAAUUUUAGUUGAAUUGCAAUACUAUGUCUAUAUGUAUAGUAUACCGUUUCUGGUUUCAUAGUCUGUUAAUUUUAAGGAAUUUUUUCAAGUGGCUCAAAAAAAACAUAUACAGUACAUUCUUUAGUUUUAUUUACAUCGUUUUCAAUCUCUUUCGCUUUUUUAAAUAUUUACGCAGAAAACAUUUUUUUUUUUUUUUCAAUCAGAAAGAGGCAAAAUUAAGAUUUGCAUUGGUUUUAGUCAUCACCUACUACAUUAAAUUACUAUUUGUGGAAAAUAUUGUUUAUAGCGUGAAACUGUGCUCUGACUGGCUCACAUGCAAACGGACAGUGGCAAUAUUGUUUAAGGAAGUAUUAAUCUUUUUUUUUUUUUUUUUUUUGACAGAAACCAUAUAGUAUUAAUCUAUUAUUACUACUAUAUAUGCAUAAAAAAGGACCAAUUAACCGACAUGCUUUGAGUUAUUUUGUGUUUUUUUUUUUUAUUGUUUCUGAAAAAAUCAACCAACAUGCUUCUUUUUUUGCGCUAACUAAAACUAAUUUAUUUAUGCUACUAAUCAAUUUAUUAAGACUAAAACUUGAGUACAAGUUAGUCUUUUUUUUUGUAGUUGGUGACCUACAAGUGGUACUCUUGUACUCAUUAUACUCAAAGUCAAGGGUACAUGCGUAUGUGUUAUGCUGAAUUCGAAAAUUCAUAGUCAAGACCCAGCAAUAUCAAGAUAUAUACACACAUGUCCUAAAGUGCAUUCUGGAGAAUAAGAACUACAAGUCUAAAGUUUUUCUUUUUGUUAGUAAAGUUAUUUUAGUCCAAGUUUAGACUAUACAACGCUGACUAUGAAAUAUGAAAGGAAAAAAAAACCUUCAAUUUUUGUCAAAAAAAUAAAUUCCAUUGUCUCUAACUAAUUAUUGAAAUUUUAAACAUGUGUUUGGUCUAACGGUAUGGUAGAAAAAAUCACGGCAAAAAUUCACGGUAACUACAAAAUCUAAAAAUUUGUAAUUUCUUUGAAAUUUGAGUUUGUAACUUCGAACGUCAAAUAAUCGUUCAUUAAGUCUCUAAAGCUCACAUGAUCAGACCAGCUUUGAUUGCAAAAUAUGACCAACUAAUUACUAAUAAACAUUUAAUUUUGUUAGCAGAUCAAUUUAUCUGUUUAAUGUUAAAAUAAAUCUGAUCCAAUUCAAUACUUUUGGACAUAGAUUGAAAUGGUUUCCCCCCCCCCCCCCCCCCCUUUUUUUUUUUUUUUUUUGUAAACUAGGUAUCCUCCGCGCGCAACUGCGGAGACUAAUCCCUCGAGCAUUGUGAGACCCAAAUGGACGGCAGACUCUCCCUAAGAGUUUUAACGCUGCUGGAGGUAUUGUAAAUAAUAUUUUGUGUUAUAUUAUUUUUAAGAGUGUAUAUUUCUAUAUAAAAAGAGUGAGUUUUGCCUUCAACCUCGAGGUAAUCGGUUUGAGACCUAGGCACUGAGAACAUGAGUUUUUUCGAUUAGCUCUUUAAAAAAUUAUUUAUAGGAGGAAUAAUUGUUUUUAUGGAAUUUGUCGUGUAAUAAAAAUCUAAAUCGUCUAGUCUACAAUUUUGUAUAGUCUUCAAUUAUGUUGUGAAUUCGGGCUUUGAAACUUCACACCAAUCCAAACUAUGAUGUGUGGAGAAAGUAUCAAUGGCAACCAACAACCAAAUUAACCAUAAGCAAUAACAAUAAUAUAUACCAAGUCUAUAAACCAAGUGCAUAGCAAAAUCACAAUCCAACCAAAUAAUAAACAAGAUAAAAGAGUAAAGAAAAAUAGACAACAACACCAAGAGAUUGUUCACCCAGUUCGGUCCAACCAUGACCUACUCUGGAGGAGAGAUUGAUCUCUUCAAUCCACUAUCAAUGAGUUCUUACAAAGAGAUACAAAUGAGUUACAAGAAAUUAGCUUCAACAAGCUCACAAAAAACAACCCUAAUUUCUACCAAUUUUCCCAAUCUCACCAAUGAACAAGACACUCAUGAUUUUUACUCUCCCAAGGUGUUUACAAUUGUUUCACAACUCUAGAAUCUAACCCCCAAAAGAGAACCAACUCUUAGCCUUUGAUUUCACUUAGGAUCUUCUCUUUUGGUUUCACAAGACUCACCCAAGUUGCUCGCAAAUGACUCUCCACUCAUGUGUUUCCCAACCCCAUGAAUCUUCUCCAAAAGGCACCAACCCUUUUCACAAGAGCCCCCUCUUUUGGUUCUCCAAGAUUCACAUCUUGAAGCUUUGAACCUCACCCAAAGACCCUCAACCUUUAGUAUCUAAAACCCUAAAAGUUUCAUCCUUUGGUUGUUAUGGGAUUCACCAAGCUUACCCAACAAAUGGAUCAGGGAGUGUUUAAAACAUGUUUCAGAUCUGUCAAAAUCGUGUCACAUUUUGCCUUCAGAACCAAACAUGCAUUCGGCAUCAGAAAUCGUGACACGGUUGCCAAAUCGUGUCAUGAUUCUUCACUUUCAUAAAGACUUAAUUUUGAGUCAUAUAUAUACCAACAAAUUCAAAUUAUAUAAAUGGACGGUAUAUUCUUUAGUAAAAGUAUUAUUUCACAAUUUAAUACGUAUUAUUAAAAGAAAUUAGAAACAAUUAUCAAAAAAUUAUGAUAGAUAAUAUAUUAAACUCGUCUAGUGUGUGUGUAUUUUUGAAGGAUAGUGUGUGUGUGUAUUAACAUCAUUCUCUAAUUAUUUUUGUAGGGAAACAAUGUUGGUUAAAUUGAUGUGUACUUUUUUUUGUAAAAAAUAAUCGACGUAUUUUUAAAUGAGAUUUACAUGUAGAGAGAGACAGCGGUAGACAUAGUAGUAGAACAAUUAAAAUUUAAAAGACCACUUUACAAAUUGCACCAAGUGGUCCUCUAAAAAAGAUCACCGACAGUUGCUUCACUUUACCUUCAUAUAUUUUAGAGCAAUGAUAUUUGAACAAUUAUUUAGUACAACAUUUUUUGACAAUCUUCUUUUUCUCUCUUUUUAUUGGUCAAAAAUAAUGAAGAGAAAAAAGAAGAGAUAGAGUAAAAAUAUAAUAUGAAUAUGAGAAAAAAAAUUGUCUAAAAAUUAUCACAAAAUGGUUGUACAAAUAUUAUUUCUCCAUAUUUUAGACACAGGCUAAUCAUUAAUUAAUUUGUGUAAAAAAAAACAAUAAUAUUAUUUUGACAACAUUAUUCAACACCUUAUCUUUCUUUCAAAAAACAUUAUUCAACACCUUAUGUUCAUAUUAUCAUUUGAUUUUCUUAAUUAUGUUUUACAUCAGUCACAUCAAGUGACAUUUUACACGCUUAUCAAUUUUUUUUGUCAAGUAGCCUAGUGUUUAGAACUCAUAUAAUUUAAUUGUGAAGAAAUGAAGUGUCAGAGAUUCGAACUCCAACCCCUGCAUAUAAUAUGCAAUAUCCCUACCAACUGAACUAAGCUCACGAAGAUCGCGGUUAUCAAUUUUUGUAGUUCAAAUAACAUCACUAAAAAAAGCUACGAGGCAGACGCACAAAUUUUCAUUGAGCAGUUGUGUUAAUUAAUUUUAUAACGCAAGGAAAAUGGUGAAGUUUUUGUGAAUAGAGAAAUGAUAUAUAUACAAUCAUUUUCAAACAACUUUUGUAAUAACUUUAUCUCUCAUUUUUAUAUUUUAUUUUUAUUUUUUUCUCUAUUAUUUUGGUUUUCGUUUAUGAUUUUUUGUAAGAAAAUGAUUGUCUAUGUAGUUAUCAAUCACAUUGAUGUUCAAAUAACAUUGCUUUUGUGAAUAAUGCAAAAUAGUUUCUCGGAACAAUCAAUUAUUCAAUUGAUAUUUACGAAAUUAGUUUUUGUAGGGUGUCCCUAUAAAUCACAUAUACUUUAAAACAGUCAUAUGUAUUCACGAUUCGAGAUCUUAUAAAAAAACCAUUCCAGAUCAUGUAUGAAAAUGAAAUAUAUAUUUUUUUUGACUGGUGUAUGAAAAUGAAAUAUUUUCAAAAAUAAAAUAUACUCUCUGCCCAUAUAAUGUCAGCGUAGGUGUCGGUGUUUUUCUACCGACUAUAAGAAAAACUGUAAAAUAAAUAAAACAAUAUAGUAAUUUAAAUUAGUGAUUGUAAAUUAUUGUCUUAAAUGUAUAGUUCAAUAUAAUAGAUUAAAAAUGAUGAAAAAAAUAUUAAUUUAAGAGUAGAAUUGAAAUAACAUAUAUGUUUUCGAUAGUUUAACUAAAUUGAUAAAGACAUUGCAUAAUAAUAUACAAGUGUUUUGAAAUUCCAUUUAUUCAUUACAUGUGAAUUUUUAGAUAUUAAACUAUUUGGAAAAUAAAAUAAAAUAUCAAAUAAUUAAGGUUUAAAUAUGUAAGUAGUCCCUGUAAUUUCGCGUAUUUUUGUUUUCGUUCCUGUAAGUUAUUUUGUUCUAAAACAAACUCUGUAUUUUGCUAACCUUUUGGAAAAGGUCCUUGCCGUCAGCUUCCGUCAACAAAAACGCCAUGGUGGCUAACGGAGCACACGUGGCAGUUCAUGAGUUGGCAAAGUUGAUGAGAUGGAAUGAGAGAUGAUAAGUUGUUAAAAUACAGGGACUAAAAUCAAAAACGUAAAUUGACACAGGGAUGAAAUUAAAAAAACGUUUAAUCUUCUUUUUCCUCUCAAAUUUCAGUCUUCUUCUUCCUCUCAAACUUUCCCCAAUCUAUCCCAUACCUUGCGCCCUUGAACCAAAACUCAUAUCCUUCAACAAUUUAUUCUAAUUCCAUUACUCAAUCAUAUUGUGUGUUUUGAUUGUAAUGUUAAGUUGAAACAUUGUAUGCUACUUAAGUUUGAUUAAUUUAGUGAUGGUUGUUGCGAUUGAUUGCAAAUUCAUUCAUAAAGUUUGUAGAUAAUAAAGGCAAGAAUACAUCUUUUUCAUCCCUCUUUUUUUUCCACAAUUCCCUCUUAUUCUUCCAGAUUGCUACAAUUACCAUACAUAAAUAGUCAGAUCCCCUUUCAUCUUUUCUCACUCACAUUCAAAUUCAAACUCUAAUUUCUCAAAUUUUUGCUUUUGAAUUGUGUAAUUUUGUGUUUUUAUGUAAUUGGUGUAGAGAGUUUAUGUUGUUUUAAUGUGUUGAUUAAGAGUGGGUCUUGUUGUUGUUGAUUGAUGAUUAUUAGUUUUGUUUAAAAAAAUAUAUAUGUUUGUUGUUUUCUUUCUUUUCCUGGGUUUGGUGUUGAUGAUUUAUGAAUAUGGUGAUGAAGAUGAAGAAGACAAUGAAGGAAGAAGAAGAAUAAGAUCUUGAUUUUAAAUUUGAAAUUUUGAUUUUACGUUUUUUAUUUUAGUCCCUGUGGUAAUUUACGCUUUUGAUUUUAGUCCCUGACUUUACACAACUAAUCAUCUCUCAUGCCAUCUCAUCAAAUGUGCCAAGUCAUGACCUGCCACCUGUGCUCCGUUAGCCACAAUGGCGUUUUUGUUGACAGAAGCUGAUGGUAAGGACCAUUUUCAAAAGGUCAAAAAGAUACAAGGUUUAUUUUAUAUAAAAAAAAAAACUUACAAGGACGAAAACAAAAAAUACGCGAACUUAGAGGAACCUUUUACAUAUUUAAGCCAAUAACUAAUAGCACUUAUUUUGGUACAUUUCUCUUUUGCAAAUGUGAAACUUAAUAUUGGAUGGGGUCAAUAAUUUUGAGAAUGAAUAAACCCAUUAUUUAGUCUUUUAAUUUUUUUUUUCCAUCCAUCAGGUUUCUAAACUAUUUACAAACACUAAAUGUCCUUAAGACAUAGCUCAAGUAACAAUAUUGAUAUUGAGAAGUUGGAUAUUUUCAUCCGAGUUUGAACUCGAAUUCUUGCAAUUACGAGUGUGAAUUUCAGGUAAUUUAUAUCAAUUUAUCUGUAAACAAAAGGAGAUAUAUACGCGUAACAAAUAGGUCUAAUGCAAAUUAACAACUUAUUUUUAGUUUAUAAAAUAUAUGAAAUUUAAUCCUUUAGUCCCUAGUAUAUUUUAACAAUGGGCACUAAAGCAACAUAUAUUUCAUAUAUUUUAAAUACUACUACAUCUUUCCUUAUGUAUAAGCUCAUUUGACAUUUUCACAUAUAUUAAAAAAGUUAGUAGUGUCUUGACAAAAAAGAAGCUCCUUAGAGUUUCCUUAUGUAUAUUUUUUUAAACCGAAAAAAUUGUGUACAAAAAAUGACUAUUAUUACUAAAAAAAAUCUUUUGCAUAUAGAUGUGUUCAACAUUUAUUUUGCAAUUCUCAAGACAAAUCAGUGGUACAUCUUAAUAAGUGAUAUAUUUGUUAGGAAAAAAAAUUACUAUAUGUAUCUAGUUAUUUGCAAGACUAAUGAUUCUUAGCAAAUAUGCUUAUAUUGAGAGAACUUUUUUCUAAAGAGAGCUUAUAAUUAGAGACUAAGAUUUUGCCAAAAAAUAAAGAAAAAUUAGAGAAUAAGGUUUAUACUAUACUUUAGAAACUAAUUUGAUGAGAUACGACUAAAUCGAAGAUAUAUUUUUUUAGAAUAGUGUUAGAACCUUAGAAAUUAUAAUCAAUAGAAAUAGAAAUGUUCCUUACAGAUCCAUAAUAGUGACAAUCUUGUCUUUUCUUUUGAGGAAAUAAUAAUAAAGGUGGUGCCAACAUUUCAACAAACCUAGCUAUUUUAAUUAUUCUGUUCUCACAGCCUGCACCUUAGAUCAAAUCCAAAUUGGGUCAUCACCGUUCCAAAAUGCUUAGGGACGUUACUCUAAAUGUCAAUAUGAAUGAGUAAUUCAAAUAGUUAACAUAGCCCGCCAGCCUUAUAUAAUAAUAUCAAUAUAUGUCGACUAAUUAUCGAGAUGCUAAAUUGGAGUACACUUCACAAACAAAAAUCUUUCAUAAGGCGUUUUUUCUCUUAAUACAUUUUUUCUUUUCUUAUGCUAGUAACAUUUACUCUGUAUUGGCCUUCCUAAGAAGAAGUUGGAUAGUAGCAAUGUGUUCGUGAGACUGCUGAUAUCUUAAAAGAAUGUUCUCAUAGAUUCCACUUUUUUAGUAAGCUUUUAUGUGUAUGAGUUUGCAAAUUUAACCCUUUUUAAUUCGGAUAGAUUUAUAAGUCACACCUUCAAGUACAAUCGACAAAAUUUCAGUAAUAAUUACGGUUUAGGGUUUAUGGGUCUAGAUCUACUAAAAAUGAGUGGGUGUAUAAAUUAGUAUAUCCUAGAGUUUAUUAUCUUACGUUCGAUCUUCUUUGCAGAAACUCGUGCAUGUUCGUGAUAUAUAUUUUCGCGAGAAGUACAUUUCCCUAAAACAAAAUCAACCACUGACAUAAACACGUCAAAUGUAAGCCGGUAAAUCCAAGCUUUACUAACACGAGUUAUAUUAUAUCAUUGGCAUCAGCUACUUAAGAACUACUGUAGAAAAUUUACAGCAAGUCAUCGAGGCUUAAUAAAAUGUGUUGAUAUAGUUACAAAGAUAAAUUAAAUAGCAGAGCAUACAUGAAGAGAACAAAUGUAGAGCAACCCCUUAAACAAACCCUCUCAGUAAGGUAUCUUCACAUUACUCUAAGUUCAUAAAAGAUGACUUUAAAAACGAUUAUUUCAAAAUGCAAGUAUUCUCCGACCCCUUUUUCCCGGAUCUAGAUCUAAUAGUGUAAGGAUAUAUAUAAAUCAUUGUCACAUUUUACAACUCAAGAGUUUACCUCAACUCGUUUUGUUUAGGUAAAUUCGACUCGAGAACUCGUAUGACUUUACCUAAAAUUAAAAUUAUAUAAAAUUUAUUAUAUAUGCAUGACAUAUGUAAGUUAAUAUAAUAUUGUAAAUAGGUCAAUAGUGCAAAAUAUGACUUAAUUACAAAGACAAAUUAUACCAUAAUAAAAUGUUAUGCUCAACUUAGCUUCAAAAUACAAAAAUUAACGCACAAAAUCAUAAGUCUCUAAGUUUAAGCCAUCCAUAAAACCAUCCAAAAAAAGAAAGUUUCACAAGUUCCUAAAGUUAUUAAUAAAACUAUCUAAAAAAUAAAGUAGUUAAUUUCUUCAAAACGUCAACAAACACCACCACAACAACCCUAACCAGUGUCACAAUCACCGGCGUUGAAAUAUGAAUUUCCACCGUCUGAAUCACAACCCUAAAUGGUAUGUGCUCCCCUGUUCAUGGUUUGAGAACUUAGAAAAGAAAAAGGGCAAUCCGGUGCACUAAAGCUCCCACAUACGCAGGGUCCGGGAAGGGGUCCCACCAUUUUUUGUGUAUUGUACGCAACCUUACCCUGUUUUUGAUCACAAAAGAAAAAGAAACGUUUCAUUUUAGGAACAACUUGUCACUGUAAAGGUAACUAUUAAUUAAACGUUUCAGUCUUUGGGGUUGUAGAAAAGGAAUUGGAUUUUGAAAAAAAUGGGCACAUAAAAAGGGCCAAUUUUUAGAUGUAAACUCGUAAAACUCAGUAAACUCGGUCGAGUUUACACGAGUUUACCUAGUGUUAACUCGGUCAAACUCGUUAAACCUUCCAAUUUUACCAGAAACCGAGUUUACCUCCGAAUUAACAUGAUUUUGGCACCUACGUAAACUCGAAGAGUUAACACUCAAUUUGCGGAACAUUGCAUAUAUAUUUAAAGAUAUAUGUAUAAUUAUAGAGAAAGUAGAGAAGGGAUAUACCAUUUUAUGUAGGGUUAUUAUGUAUCAAAUCAUAAAGAGUCGAGAGUUGUAUUAUACCAUAAUAUUCUUCCGUAAACUGGUAGUCAUGAUCAUGACGUAUAUUAUUCAAGUAUAUGCAAAAACAUGUCUGUAUCUAGUCUAAAUUUUUGACCAAAUGCAUGUAUUUGCUUAUAUUUUGUUACUACUUACUACUCGCCAAGUAAUGCUCAAUAUCUAAUAUAUAUAUUUCAAGACCAUCAAAGAUAACUCAGUUGAACAAUACAUAAUAUAUGCAAGGUUCGGGGUAUAUUACAUUUUCAAUUAUUCUAAUAAUAAAUUUAAAUGACACUUAAAUUAUACAACUAUUAAAUAGAUCUUAGUACCGUAAAAUUUAUAUUCGAGACUUGCUAGGGAGAACCAUCAACCUCAACAAAAAUUUCUACUUGAAUCUAACGCAAACAAAAGGUCCAACCAUCUAUGAAUCUCCGUUGAUAUCACAAAUGAUGUUUGAUACAAGAGAGACAUAUUAGAACAUAAUCUAUGUACAAUCUACAUUAAAAUAAAAAACAAGUCUACAGUCAUAUAAAUAACACAAUUUCAAAAUCUCAAAAUUAGGUAUGAAAACAAAAUGAUUAGAAAAAUAAAUGAUUCAAUCAUUCCGAGAUUUGUGCAAAAAAAAAAAAAAAAACAUUUUGAAAAUACAAUGUUAGAAACUUAUGAUCAAUAUAUAUUUUUCCUUACACAUCAAAAAUAAUUAAGCUAUAUUCUUGUCUUUUCAUUUUGGGCAAACUAAAAUUAAAAUCAAGGUAGUGUCAAUGUUUCUAUAGUCCUAGCUAUUUGAUUUUCUUCUAAGCUAACAAGAGUCUUCCAAAAUCAAAUUCGCGCUCAAAAUUAAAGCAACUUGGGUGGUAACCAUUCCAAAAUACUUAGGGCCACAUUGCUCUAAAAGUCAAUAAGAAUAAGUAAUAAUUCAAAGAUAGCCAACCUUAUAGUAUAUUUUAAUAUGAAUGUAUGCAUGUUUCCUAGAAGGUGAGUAAGCUAACUAAUCAAGAUACUUUGUUGGAGUUAAAUAUGGUAAAGAAUCCAACUAUAAAAUGGGGACUUGCCCCAGCAUUCUUUCACAAACCAAAACCAACUUCUAAGAAAAAAAUGAGGUCCCUAAUGGCCUCUGCUUCUCUCACUCUUGCAUUAGCCAUCCUCUUUUUGAGUUUCCCAUCUGAAAUUUCAGCAAACAAAUACGCAUAUUCCUCUCCACCACCACCACAUUACUCAUCUCCUCCACCUCCACCGGUUCACACUUACCCUAAACCAGUCUACCACUCUCCACCACCACCAGUUCACACCUACCCUAAACCAGUUUACCACUCUCCACCACCACCAGUUCACAAGUACCCUCACCCUAAACCAGUAUACCACUCUCCACCACCCCCAGUUCACAAGUACCCUCAUCCACACCCAGUCUACCAUUCUCCACCACCCCCAGUUCACAAGUACCCCCAUCCUCACCCAGUGUACCACUCUCCCCCACCACCACCACCAAAGAAGUCCUACAAAUACCCAUCUCCCCCACCACCACCAGUUCACACCUACCCUAAACCAGUCUACCACUCUCCUCCACCCCCAGUUCAUCACACCUACCCUAAACCAGUCUACCACUCUCCUCCACCCCCAGUUCACACCUACCCUCACCCUAAACCAGUCUACCACUCUCCACCACCCCCAGUUCACACUUACCCUAAACCAGUCUACCACUCCCCACCACCACCAGUUCACACCUACGUCCCUCACCCUAAGCCAGUCUACCACUCUCCACCACCACCAGUUCACACCUAUCCCCCACAUGUUCCCCACCCAGUUUACCAUUCUCCUCCUCCUCCAGUUCAUUCCCCACCUCCACCACACUAUUACUACAAAUCACCUCCUCCACCUUACCACAACUAGAUAGCCCAUAAUUGGCAUCACACCAUAUGGUAACUUUUCAUGCAACAUAUAUAUUAUAACUUUUCAUAUUCUCUCUUUAUUAACUAGUUAUCGGUAUGAUUGUCGAGUAUAUACUAACAAGGCUAAUUUGAAAUGAAACUUCAUGUGCAAUGAAACAUUCUUUUACUGGUUAAUAUUUUAUUCUAUGUUUCAUUGAAAUUAAUAUUUUUCUAAUAGUAUUUGGUUAUUAAGGGAUUAGAGUAUAUCAGACAUAAACUGACAGAUCAAUAUAUUUGCAUUUGUGUAGGAUCUAAAC